rnacentral:rRNA from 1 species
AUUGAACGCUGGCGGCAUGCCUUACACAUGCAAGUCGAACGGUAACAGGUCUUCGGAUGCUGACGAGUGGCGAACGGGUGAGUAAUGCAUCGGAACGUGCCCAGUAGUGGGGGAUAGCCCGGCGAAAGCCGGAUUAAUACCGCAUACGACCUGAGGGUGAAAGGGGGGGAUUGCAAGACCUCUCGCUAUUGGAGCGGCCGAUGUCAGAUUAGCUAGUUGGUGGGGUAAAGGCCUACCAAGGCAACGAUCUGUAGUUGGUCUGAGAGGACGACCAGCCACACUGGGACUGAGACACGGCCCAGACUCCUACGGGAGGCAGCAGUGGGGAAUUUUGGACAAUGGGCGCAAGCCUGAUCCAGCAAUGCCGCGUGCAGGAAGAAGGCCUUCGGGUUGUAAACUGCUUUUGUCAGGGAAGAAAUCUUCUGGGUUAAUACCUCGGGAGGAUGACGGUACCUGAAGAAUAAGCACCGGCUAACUACGUGCCAGCCGCCGCCGUAA